rnacentral:rRNA from 1 species
UACGUAGGGGGCUAGCGUUGUCCGGAAUCAUUGGGCGUAAAGCGUCCGCAGGUGGCUAUGUAAGUCUGCUGUUAAAGAGUGAGGCUCAACCUCAUAAGAGCAGUGGAAACUACAUAGCUAGAGUGCGUUCGGGGCAGAGGGAAUUCCUGGUGUAGCGGUGAAAUGCGUAGAUAUCAGGAAGAACACCGGUGGCGAAAGCGCUCUGCUAGGCCGCAACUGACACUGAGGGACGGAAGCUAGGGGAGCGAAUGGG